UACGGGGGGAGCAAGCGUUGUUCGGAUUUACUGGGCGUAAAGGGCGCGUAGGCGGUCAGCACAAGUCAGUUGUGAAAUCUCCGGGCUUAACUCGGAAAGGUCAACUGAUACUGUGCGACUAGGGUGCGGAAGGGGCAACUGGAAUUCUCGGUGUAGCGGUGAAAUGCGUAGAUAUGACAUAGAACACCAAUUGCGAAGGCAGCUUACUACAGCGAUAUUGACACUGAGGCACGAAAGCGUGGGGAUCAAACAGG
rnacentral:rRNA from 1 species